ACCAUCACGUGGGCUAGUCUGCCAGCUGGGGAGUCGUUUACAGCCGGCAGUCCGUCGAGGGUCAGUAAAGGCUUAAAAGCCUACUAUGAUUUUGUACACAGCUUCAUAAAUUCAGUGUUUAUGAAAGGAUUUCCAGAUGAUUUAAUUGAAAAGUGUCUUGAUGGUGACUUUGAUUCAAUCGUCAGUAGUUACCAGUCCUAUAUUUCAUAUUUCAUUGGCUUUGGAAUAUGCGUCGCUGUCGGAGUUUUUGCUUAUUUUCCCUAUUGUCGCCUGCUGUUUCUGCUGCUGUCGUUUGUGCGGGAAUUGUGGCGGGAAAAGGCAACAGUUGCAGAAAAAUACUGACAGUGUCUGCAGAAAAUACACAUUCUCCGGCAUUCUUUUCGUAUCAACCGUAUUUGUAAUGGUCGGAACGAUAUGUAUCUUCAUUAAUAAUGAAAACAUGACGACCACGCUUAACAAUAUACCAGAUACAGCAGAAGAUAAUCUCAAUGACGUCAGAACAUUUGUCAACAAUACCGUCAAUGAAGCAACACAUAUAGUGACAGAAAAUUUCCAGUUUGUACAGGCAGCUUUGUAUAGAGACCUUGAUAAUAUUGCGUUCCUGGUUGGCCUGACACUGAAGACCGAUAUAGAGGACAAAACAAAUAUCACCAACACUCUGACGUCCGCUUAUUCUUUGUCAGACAGUUUAGACAAUGCAGAUGCAGCGCUGUCAGCGAUUGAGUCGAACAAAACAGCUAUGGAGACAGCGGUCACCGACCUUCAGACUGCACUGACGGACGUCACUAACACCCUUGAUGCUGUAUUUACAACUUGUGGUGCAAACUGUCCUGCCGUAGGAAGACCGGAUUACAAUGGAUCUUCACCGGACAUAGACACAAGUGCAUUUCCAGAUCUGAGCGACGCCCGAACAAGUAUGGACGACGCAAAAGGAACUAAUCUAACAGAGGAGAUUAUUAAUGGAGAAGCAGAAGUUGAUGAUAUACCAGACAGAGUAGUCCGUGAUUCUAACACGACACGAGAAGACUUAAAGACGACUAUAUCAGAUCUAAGUGACGAUUUGGAGGAUAUUGUUGAUCAAAUCUCGGAUGUUAAUAAUCGGAUAAGCGGGGAGAAUGCUUCUAUUGACCUUGAUAAGCUGAUACUUGAUAUAAAGGACUACAAAGAGAUGUUAGAGACAUAUGACAAAUACAGAUGGUAUGGAGGAGUAGGUCUGGCUUCUAUAUGCUUGCUGGUUAUUGUAUUCGCCACAAUUGGACUGCUUUUCGGAAUCUUUGGAACGAGUACAAGCACACCACCAGAUCAGCGAGGGUGUAUUUCAAACUGCGGUGGAAUAAUGCUUAUGGUCUCUGCGGCUUUGAUCUUCAUAUUUUCGGCCUUUUUGAUGUUGCUGACGUUCUUGACCUUUAUACCUGGAGCUCCAAUCCACAAAGUCUUUUGUGAACCAGUGACAGACCUAGAGGAAUUGGAAAGGUAUCUGACAAUUUACAACGACCAGCAAGUUGGAGAGGGCAAAUAUUUCUUUGCAGAUAUUGUACUUGGUAACGACACAAUACCUCUGACAGUCACAGACGCAUUAAAGAAUUGCAAAGACGGACAGGGUGCAUUCACUGCAUUCAAACUAGACAACAGAUUCGACUUGGCAGAUAUGCUAAAUUACUCCAAGACACUAGAUGUACAGGCUGAAGUCGAUGCCACCAACGUCAACCUUUCAUCAGUGAAAAUUUACUCAUCUAGUCUUCAGACACAAUUAAAUGACCUAAAAGACGCAGUGAAUAUCAGUUUUACGGACUUCUAUACUGAGCUGGAUUCAAAUAUAACAACAGUAAACUUGAGCAGCCUGGCUGAUGAUUUGGAUGCUUAUGCUGAUACGAUAACCAGUUCCCCAACAGCAAAAGCUGCUGUCAAAGUUGAAGCAAACAAAUUGCGAACAAUUGAGGCGGAAGAAUAUGCCUAUGUUGAAAGUAAUGUGACGGCCUUGAAUACAUCUGUAGCUGAAAUGGACGCUGUUGUUUCUAAUAUCCCGACUAUGGUGGACAAUUUAGACUAUGGACUUCAAACUGCGGAUGAUUAUAUUCAAAAUAACGGAAGUGACGUAUUGAGAUCGAUUUUGAAUACCUACGCCAAUCGUCUGCUUGGCAUAAUAGAUUCGUAUGUAGCAUUCACAGAUGAUGCGGUCAAAAACCAGAUGGGAUCAUGUGAGCCUGUUUGGAACAUUUACAAUUCCCUGCUUGUGUACACAUUUUGCUAUAAUCUUAUGGAUUGCUUCAAUGGAUUCUGGUUUUCACUAGGAUGGGUCAUUUUCUUCUUCAUGCCAUCUGUUAUCUUUUCUGUGAAGCUAGCCAAAUAUUUCAGACAAAUGGACAGGGCAGAUGAUGGUCUAUUAGACUCGGACACACCUCCACCUCCUUCAGCAAACGGUGAAAAGAACCCUAAUGCAGGGUUAGGUCAAGAACCUGUGUCACAAGAUAUGCCUUCAAAGGCAAAGUUUUGGAUGAGGAACAACAAGGUUUCUCACAAAGACAACGUUGAUGAUUGCUCACGUGAACCAAAGGAUCAGGGUGAGCUGCUCGUAAUGGAUGAUGGUCCGGUAUCCAUUAUCUUUUGGGUGGCGUCUAUCAUCAUCGUGUUUCUUUCAACAUCAUCUCCUCUGAAGAAGCAGCUGGCUAGAAUUACACCAAAUGCAACCUGAAACAUUUAUAUAACGUCUUCACUUAAGAUUCUGUUUGAAAAUUCUUAGCUGCCACCAUAGCUAAAAGAAGAAAAGUCAACAUUUCAACAACCUCUCCUCAUCAAUCACUUGAUGAAUUUUCACCAAACUUGAAAACGUAGUAUCUCUGUAGGGACCUUAUCAGCGCAUCAUCACCCAUUCCACCUUUCCCAUCAAAAGAAUCACGUGACUAUCUUGAGCAGGUACCGUCAAAUUUAUAUGAAGAUAGGUCUUUUAAUGACAUGGGGAGUAGUUCCCAUCCAGUAACAUUUAGCCCGAG
rnacentral:misc_RNA from 1 species